CCCUGGAGCUGUUUGGCUCUGAAUGACACUCUUGGAGCAAACCCAAGACCAACCUGUAGCUUGGAGCCAGCACAGCAGAGCCCAGCCAAGAUUACUCGGACUCCUGCCAAAGCCCAGACCUGGGAGGGAGAGAAGCAGAUGGGGGACUGAUCAGCCCCCGAAGGAACAUGAGGACUCCCAGGCAAACGGCAGACACUCUAGUCUGAU
rnacentral:lncRNA from 1 species